rnacentral:ribozyme from 1 species
UGCCCAGCAACUCCUAUCCCUACCUCUUCGUGGUAUUGGCCGGGGUAUGAGUAACAUUAUGGAAGAUUGGGUAACCAACUCCGGUGGGAACUCUGGUCGUAUGAUGAUAGGGAAGA